rnacentral:rRNA from 1 species
GAUGAACGCUGGCGGCGUGCCUAAUACAUGCAAGUCGAGCGAACCACUUCGGUGGUGAGCGGCGAACGGGUGAGUAACACGUAGGUGAUCUGCCCAUCAGACGGGGACAACGAUUGGAAACGAUCGCUAAUACCGGAUAGGACGAAAGUUUAAAGGUGCUUCUGGCACCGCUGAUGGAUGAGCCUGCGGCGCAUUAGCUAGUUGGUAGGAUAAAGGCCUACCAAGGCGACGAUGCGUAGCCGACCUGAGAGGGUGAACGGCCACACUGGGACUUGAAAAGGGCCCAGACUCCUACGGGAGGCAGCAGUAGGGAAUCUUCGGCAAUGGGCGAAAGCCUGAUCGAGCAACGCCGCGUGAAUGAUGAAGGCCUUCGGGUUGUAAAAUUCUGUUAUAAGGGAAGAACGACUUUAGUAGGAAAUGGCUAGAGUGUGACGGUACCUUAUGAGAAAGCCACGGCUAACUACGUGCCAGCAGCCGCAGUAA